rnacentral:snRNA from 1 species
CCUCAUACCUGGCAGGGGAGAUACCAUUGUUGUAAAAGUGAUUUUCCUGGGGUAAGGCUCAUCUAUUGCACUCUGGAUGUGCUGACCUCUGUGAUUUCCCCAAAUGUGGGAAAAUCAACUGCCUAAGUGGGCGGCUGUGUUUGUGGUUUCCCCUG